GUCCUUUGCAUAGGAACCUCCAUCUCGGUGGGUUCCGGUCUCUCGACGCUCUUCUGGUUUGAUCGUUGGGCCGGGGACUCUCCCUUUGCGGCCCGCUUCCCUGUCCUCUUCUCUAUCUCCGUCGAUCCCAUGAUUUCUGUUGAUAGGGCCCUUCUUGACUUAAGGUGCCUUGCUUUCCGACGGCCUUUUGGGCCCGCGGAAUCCGCCGCUUGGCGUGAGUUGCUUGACUGCGUUGCUCUUCAUGAGCCUUUGGUGGAUGGUGGCCCUGACCUGGUGCGAUGGCGCCUUGAGCCGUCGGGCCAGUUCUCCACCAAGUCGCUCUACCUGGCCAUUGCCCCAUCCUCCGCUCCCCUCCCCCUGUCGAUGGUUUGGUCCAUCCGCGUACCCCUGAAGAUUCGCAUCUUCAUGUGGCAAUGGAUUCGCGGUCGGGUCCCGUCCGGGGUGGACGUCUGCAAGCGCAAUGGCCCGGGUACUGGCAUAUGUCCGCUCUGUGGUGUUCCCGAAGACUCGAACCACAUUUUCUUCUCUUGCGUCUCCGCCCAGUUCCUCUGGAGCUGCUUUCGCGAGGUGGUCGGUGGAAGUUGGUGCCACACCAAUUUCCCGGACCUAUUUGCUGAACUCCAGCUGUCCCCCGCGGCCUCUCGCCACAUUAGGUGGCUUGAGGUUGGGGUACUUGUUGGGGAACGCAGUAAUUUCAAAAAAAUUCCUACGUACAAGCAAGAUCAUGGUGAUGGCAUAGCAACGAGAGGGGAGAGUGUUGUCCACGUACCCUCGUAG
rnacentral:rRNA from 1 species